rnacentral:rRNA from 1 species
CCCUUAGAUGUUCUGGGCCGCACGCGCGCUACAAUGGCAGACUCAGCGAGUUACCUCUGUCGAAAGGCACAGGGAAUCUUUACAGUAUCUGCCGUGAUGGGGAUAGACCCUUGUAAUUUUUGGUCUUCAACGAGGAAUUCCCAGUAAACGCAAGUCAUUAACUUGCAUUGAUUACGUCCCUGCCCUUUGUACACACCGCCCGUCGCACCUACCGAUUGAAUGGUCCGGUGAAGUCCUCGGACCCAGUUGAACCUCGAGUUGAACAGGGAAAGUUGACUAAAUCUUACCAUUUAGAGGAAGGUGAAGUCGUAACA